UCAGUCGACUCCUACGGGGAGGCAGCAGUGGGGGAAUAUUGCACAAUGGGCGCAAGCCUGAUGCAGCCAUGCCGCGUGUAUGAAGAAGGACCUUCGGGUUGUAAAGUACUUUCAGCAGUGAGGAAGGCAGGUACGUUAAUAGCGUGCUUGUUUGACGUUAGCUGCAGAAGAAGCACCGGCUAACUCCGUGCCAGCAGCCGCGGUAAUACGGAGGGUGCGAGCGUUAAUCGGAAUUACUGGGCGUAAAGCGCAUGCAGGUGGUUUGUUAAGUCAGAUGUGAAAGACCCGGGGCUCAACCUCGGAAUUGCAUUUGAAACUGGCAGACUAGAGUACUGUAGAGGGGGGUAGGAAUUUCAGGUGUAGCGGUGAAAUGCGUAGAGAUCUGAAGGAAUACCGGUGGCGAAGGCGGCCCCCUGGACAGAUACUGACACUCAGAUGCGAAAGCGUCGGGGAGCAAACAGGAUUAGACUACCCUGGUAG
rnacentral:rRNA from 1 species